GAGAAAAGCUGAAUCACUCAGCCCAGAGGAAGCCUGAGGAGGCAUAAAGAAGUCUUGGAAAUCCCCUGAAAAAAAGAAUCAGCUGUAGGCUAACCCAAGAAGAAUAAAGCAUCUGCUUCCCUGACAUGCUGCUCCCCCAAAAACAGACUGCCGAUAUGAUUCCAAGGUUCUUAGCACACUGUAUAUUACCUCACUCCUCCUACAGUGGUCUGGAACUGAACUUGCAAUUUCUCCAAGAUAUGUCGGUAUCUCUCUCCAUGCUGUGCUGUGUGGGCUUUGGGAGGGGUGAUGUGGAUCAUUUGAAAUUGUCCUUGCUACCUCUUUAAUGCAUAUUUUUUAUAUUUCUAUGCUCCACCCAAGUGCUGUAGUCUCUCAACUGCCUUCUUUUUGUUCUUCAGCUUUUAUGAAGCUAUUUUCAAGUGUGAGUAGUUGUUCAAAUUCAUGUUUCUUGAGGGAACAAGUGACUUGUUUGUAAGUUGACUUGUAUAUCUUUUUAUAGCUAAGAUUUUAUCCUAUGAUCUUACUAACUCAGGAAUUUUUUGGAGAUUCUUUGCAGUUUUCUAAGUAGAAUAACCAUAUUAUAUUUAUUAUUAUUUUCCUUCUUACUUUGGUUUUAAUUUGCUCUUUUUUUUACAUGUUUUCUGAGAUAGAAACUUAGGUUAUUGAUUCGAUACUCUUAUUCCUUUAUAACAUAUGCAUUUGAUUGUGUAAGUUUUUCUCUAAGCACUGCUUUAGUGCAUCCCACAAAUU
rnacentral:lncRNA from 1 species